CGCCUACACAUGCAAGUCGAACGCAGUAGCAAUACUGAGUGGCAAACGGGUGAGUAUAAUGUGGGAAUCUGCCUUUUGGUUUGGAAUAACACGAGGAAACUUGUGCUAAUACCGGAUAAGCCUUCACAGGGAAAGUUUUAUACGCCAAAAGAUGAGCCCGCACUUGAUUAGCUAGUUGGUGAGGUAAUUGCUCACCAAGGCAACGAUCAAUAGCUGUUCUUAGAGGAAGACCAGCCACAUUGGGACUGAGACACGGCCCAAACUCCUACGGGAGGCAGCAGUGGGGAAUCUUGCACAAUGGGGGAAACCCUGAUGCAGCGAUGCCGCGUGAGUGAAGAAGGCCCUUGGGUUGUAAAGCUCUUUCGUCGGGGAAGAAAAUGACUGUACCCGAAUAAGAAGGUCCGGCUAACUUCGUGCCAGCAGCCGCGGUAAUACGAAGGGACCUAGCGUAGUUCGGAAUUACUGGGCUUAAAGAGUUCGUAGGUGGUUGAAAAAGUUGGUGGUGAAAUCCCAGAGCUUAACUCUGGAACUGCCAUCAAAACUUUUCAGCUAGAGUAUGAUAGAGGAAAGCAGAAUUUCUAGUGUAGAGGUGAAAUUCGUAGAUAUUAGAAAGAAUACCAAUUGCGAAGGCAGCUUUCUGGAUCAUUACUGACACUGAGGAACGAAAGCAUGGGUAGCGAAGAGGAUUAGAUACCCUCGUAGUCCAUGCCGUAAACGAUGUGUGUUAGACGUUGGAAAUUUAUUUUCAGUGUCGCAGGGAAACCGAUAAACACACCGCCUGGGGAGUACGACCGCAAGGUUAAAACUCAAAUGAAUUGACGGGGACCCGCACAAGUAGUGGAGCAUGUGGUUUAAUUCGAAGAUACGCGCAGAACCUUACCAACACUUGACAUGUUCGUCGCGACUCUAAGAGAUUAGAGUUUUCGGUUCGGCCGGACGAAACACAG
rnacentral:rRNA from 1 species